CUCAUUUUUCUUUUUUCUCUCCGCUUCGUUUUUUCUCUCUGAAAUUGAGGUAAGGUUGCUUUUGGAUUCACUCAUGGAGAGAUUUUAAGAUUAACGUUAAUCGAGUUUAAGAUUUCGAUCUGUUGAAGAACAUCAUCGGAAAAAAAAGAUUCAUCAACCAAUUCCAACAAUUAGGAUAUGGAUAAAGCUGAGGGUUCUAAAAGGAGAGGGGGUGCACAUAUAUUCACAAGUAUCGAUGGCCUUUCUAAGAGAUUUAUCGACUUGAGUAUCGAAGAGGUUGGGAAGGAAGGGUAUUCUGGAGCAUCCCUUAAACAGGUAUCUUGGAAACGAAUUAUAGAAGCUUUGAACACUGAGUUUAAGGGAACUUUACCAUAUGAUUUAGAUCAAAAAGCUUUAAAAAACCACUGGGACUCUCUUAAAAAGAAAUAUGCAGUUUGGAGGACCAUUGCUGGACUAAGUGGUCAUGGUUACAACGACUCAACCGGAAGAUUGGACUAGCCUGAAACGAAAUGGGUAGAAGUAAUUAAGAACACACCAAAUGCUGCACAAUUCAAGAAUACUGCACUAAAGCAUGCAAAGGAAUUAUUUCACUUGUUCGAAGGAGUGUUGGCCUCUGGAGAUGAGUCAUAUGUUCACGUGGCCACUGGAAAUCUACAUCCACAUUUAGAAACAGAGAAAGAUAAUGCUGAUGUAGGAGGAGAAAGUGAGACAUAUGAUGGUUAUGGAGAGGGAAGCUAUAGUAAUCAACAGAUCUCCGGAGCUGCGAAUCAGAAUGGAGACUCAAGUAAUGCCAAUUCUGGUACACACAGCACUGCUGACACGUCAAACAACUCAGGAAAGAGGAAAAAAGCUGAACCAACCAAAGAUGGUGAUGCAGAACUUGAUGAUGUUGUGGAGUUAGUUAAGGAGCAGUUUGAAUCUUACAAAAAACAGAAAGAAGAAAAGAAAGCUGAGCGAGAGGCUAGGAAGCAAUUAGAAAUUGCUGAACUGGAUGCGUAUUCUCUACGAGCGUGCCUGGUAUACAUCAAUAACAUGAAAAGAUCAGGAGCAAGUCAUUUAAAAAUGGAAGAUUAUAGUGUAGCAAUGGUCAAACUUGCUCAAAGCCUUGAAAUGAGAAAGACCUUUAUGAUGUUGGAAUCACUCGAUGAGAAAGCACAGUUCAUUUGUGGAUUGGCGCGCUUAGGAUGAUAUUUUUUCACAUUUUUUUCCUUUCUUUUCUUCUAGAAAAAUAGUAGAUACUGUCUCUCGAAUUUAAUGUCAUUUCUUGAGUGUGUGGAUUGGUGGUUACACCUUAAUGUGUGAGGUCUUACUUUAACACUAGUAUUAUGUGUGAGGUCUUACUUUAACAGUUAUGUUUGAAUUUACUGUAUUGCUUAAUGUGUGAGGUCUUACACCUUAAUGUUCUUUCAGUUGUUAUGUGGUUGAUACGCUUAUUGGAAUUGUUAUGUUUGAAUUUACUGUAUUGCUUAA